rnacentral:rRNA from 1 species
UAAGCAUAUCAAUAAGCGGAGGAAAAGAAACCAACAGGGAUUGCCCUAGUAACGGCGAGUGAAGCGGCAACAGCUCAAAUUUGAAAUCUGGCUCUUUCAGAGUCCGAGUUGUAAUUUGCAGAGGGCGCUUUGGAGUUGGCAGCGGUCCAAGUUCCUUGGAACAGGACGUCACAGAGGGUGAGAAUCCCGUACGUGGUCGCUAGCCUUCGCCGUGUAAAGCCCCUUCGACGAGUCGAGUUGUUUGGGAAUGCAGCUCUAAAUGGGAGGUAAAUUUCUUCUAAAGCUAAAUACUGGCCAGAGACCGAUAGCGCACAAGUAGAGUGAUCGAAAGAUGAAAAGCACUUUGGAAAGAGAGUCAAAUAGCACGUGAAAUUGUUGAAAGGGAAGCGCUUGCAGCCAGACUUGCCUGUAGUUGCUUAUCCGGACUCUUGUCCGGUGCACUCUUCUAUAGGCAGGCCAGCAUCAGUUUGGGCGGUUGGAUAAAGGUCUCUGUCACGUACCUCUCUUCGGGGAGGCCUUAUAGGGGAGACGACAUGCAACCAGCCUGGACUGAGGUCCGCGCAUCUGCUAGGAUGCUGGCGUAAUGGCUGUAAGCGGCCCGUCUUGAAACACGGACCAAGGAGUCUAACAUCUAUGCGAGUGUUUGGGUGUCAAGCCCAGACGCGUAAUGAAAGUGAACGGAGGUGGGAACCCUUUGGGUGCACCAUCGACCGAUCCUGAUGUCUUCGGAUGGAUUUGAGUAAGAGCAUGGCUGUUGGGACCCGAAAGAUGGUGAACUAUGCUUGAAUAGGGUGAAGCCAGAGGAAACUCUGGUGGAGGCUCGCAGCGGUUCUGACGUGCAAAUCGAUCGUCAAAUUUGGGCAUAGGGGCGAAAGACUAAUCGAACUAUCUAGUAGCUGGUUCCUGCCGAAU